rnacentral:rRNA from 1 species
GAGUGAACGCUGGCGGUAGGCCUAACACAUGCAAGUCGAACGGCAGCACAGUAAGAGCUUGCUCUUACGGGUGGCGAGUGGCGGACGGGUGAGGAAUACAUCGGAAUCUACUUUUUCGUGGGGGAUAACGUAGGGAAACUUACGCCAAUACCGCAUACGACCUACGGGUGAAAGCAGGGGAUCUUCGGACCUUGCGCGAUUGAAUGAGCCGAUGUCGGAUUAGCUAGUUGGCGGGGUAAAGGCCCACCAAGGCGACGAUCCGUAGCUGGUCUGAGAGGAUGAUCAGCCACACUGGAACUGAGACACGGUCCAGACUCCUACGGGAGGCAGCAGUGGGGAAUAUUGGACAAUGGGCGCAAGCCUGAUCCAGCCAUACCGCGUGGGUGAAGAAGGCCUUCGGGUUGUAAAGCCCUUUUGUUGGGAAAGAAAAGCAGCAGGUUAAUACCCCGCUGUUCUGACGGUACCCAAAGAAUAAGCACCGGCUAACUUCGUG